rnacentral:rRNA from 1 species
GGGGAAUAUUGGACAAUGGGCGGAAGCCUGAUCCAGCAACGCCGCGUGAGGGAUGACGGCCUUCGGGUUGUAAACCUCUUUCAGCUCCGACGAAGUCCCGUCUUUUUGGGUGGGGUGACGGUAGGGGCAGAAGAAGGACCGGCCAACUACGUGCCAGCAGCCGCGGUAAUACGUAGGGUCCGAGCGUUGUCCGGAAUUAUUGGGCGUAAAGGGCUCGUAGGCGGUUUGUCGCGUCGGGAGUGAAAACACGGGGCUUAACCCUGUGCUUGCUUUCGAUACGGGCAGACUGGAGGUAUGCAGGGGAGAACGGAAUUCCUGGUGUAGCGGUGAAAUGCGCAGAUAUCAGGAGGAACACCGGUGGCGAAGGCGGUUCUCUGGGCAUGACCUGACGCUGAGGAGCGAAAGUGUGGGGAGCGAA